AGAGCUUUGUAUCAUAUUUAUCAACAGUAAAAAUCAUCGACCCAUGAAAAAGUGAUGAGUUCUGAACUCAACCAAUAUGAUCUAAAGGUUAGAUCAGAUUGAGGGCAUCGAUGUGAUCAAUAUAGUUUUCUGUUUUAUAUCAUAUUUUAUUAUAUAAAGUUUUCAUAUCAUAGAUCCUUAAUGAUAGUUUAGAUCUAAUCUAAGAUAUGUUUAGAAGAUUAAAGUAUUUAAUCUUUUAUUAU
rnacentral:lncRNA from 1 species